rnacentral:lncRNA from 1 species
AUGAGUGUCAAAGAUGGUUUCAUGCUCAGUGUCUAAGUAUGAAGAAUGCAGAGUUUGAAAAGGCCAAAAAAAGGAAUGUGGAACUCUCUCCUAUGUGAAUGAGAACAUGUUAAUGAAGCAUUUCCUUUUAUUGUGUAUAUAUACUGGAAAUAAUAUUUGCAGUAUUGUAGAUACUACUGCAUGUUCUAUGUAAAUACAACCAGAAAAAAAUUAUAAAUAAAUGAUAGAUAUCCUGUAGAUAUCCUAGAUUAUUUGCUCACGUCGUUGAAGGAUGCGAAAUGACACAAAUUGCAUUUAAAUUAUAUUAAAGAAAUGAAACGUGCAAACUAAUAAUAUCCUACUGAAAAUUAUUGUGCCAUAAUCAGUUUCAAUUAUUAAUUGUGGAGCAAGUUUUGGACCAGUAUGUUCAACGUCAAACUAACUUCAACGUGGUAUCCUCAACCUACUACUACUCUGUUCUUUAAACUGGUGCCUAUAGGUCAGAGGACCAAAUAGUAGAAGCCAAUGUAUCCUAAGUGGCGCAGUUGUUAGCAGACUUACAGUAAGUAGGUUUUUGUUCAUUUGCGAAAGUGUUUUUCUUUUAUUUGUUCUCCCUGUGUCUGUGUGGGUGUAUUUUCCACCCCACAUACUACAAGAUUAAUGCAGGGGAGCAGGUUAAUAUAUUAAAAAAUUAUUAAUUUCUUGAAAAUCCGAAUAAUUUAUCGACGGUCCCUAAAUCGACGUCUUCACUGACGGAGCGGUCUCGUGCUGCGGUCGCGUAGCGAACGCGAAACGUGUCCGUUGAAUAUCCAACGUCCAGCCAACUUCACCGCGGUGUUGAGGAUCAGGUGACUGCCUGUAUGGAGUUAUGAACAUUCAAGAAAAAAAUGUGAAAAUCAAAGCAAAGGAGCUGCAGAAUUGGGAGAGAGAACAAAGUGGUUGCAGCAACGGACAGACUGGUUUACAGACACGUCGAGUUGUAGCAGGCUCAUACGUAUGUGACAGAUUUCGAUGAGAUGAGCAACAUGGUGUUACCAGCCUUUGACUGAGAUAAAUACAGACACCUGCUCAGCCAGCAGAUGGGCUCCUCGGCCUGUAACAAGAAGCAGAGAUCACGUCAUCGGACCACCGGUCAUUCUUGACCCUACAAAGUGAGUAACAUCACGUUUCUCAUCCCAUAUGUCCAAAACCCACAUCACAGCAGCUUCUUCCACUUCACAUUAGUGAUCUGACCACCUGUCCUCCAUCUCUUUCCGUUCUCAGCUUUUGAUCCUCCAGCUUGUAAGAGUCGUGGUCAUGAACAACAGAAGAGACGAGUUGAG